GAUGAAGAACGUAGCGAAAUGCGAUAAGUAGUGUGAAUUGCAGAAUUCAGUGAAUCAUCGAAUCUUUGAACGCACAUUGCGCCCUUUGGUAUUCCAAAGGGCAUGCCUGUUCGAGCGUCAUUUGUACCCUCAAGCUUUGCUUGGUGUUGGGCGUCUUGUCUCUAGCUUUGCUGGAGACUCGCCUUAAAGUAAUUGGCAGCCGGCCUACUGGUUUCGGAGCGCAGCACAAGUCGCACUCUCUAUCAGCAAAGGUCUAGCAUCCAUUAAGCCUUUUUUUCAACUUUUGACCUCGGAUCAGGUAGGGAUACCCGCUGAACUUAAGCAUAUCAGUAAGCGGAGGA
rnacentral:misc_RNA from 1 species